AGCCCUCUGGACCGCGCUUUGUUCUGACUCUGAGCUCCCCAACCCCCGACCCGAUCCAUCCCUUGGCUUCCCGCUCACUCCUUCCGCCCACUCCCCGCAUCUGGACUCACAUCCUCUUCCCCAGCCGCUGCGCCCCGGAUCCUGCCCUCCCCCUCCCCCGAACUUCCCGUAGGCGCCCUUGCCUGGUACCCUUCUCUCCAUUCCUCCCCCUUGCAUCCUCUUCCCCCUCCCUCUCUCGGGUCCCCUCCUUCCCAAGGCCGGGGAUGUCCCCCGCGGCCCCGCGCCCAUGGUCCUGACGCUGCUCCUCUCCGCCUACAAGCUGUGCCGUUUCUUCGCCAUGUCAGGCCCGCGGCCGGGAGCCGAGCGGCUGGCGGUGCCAGGGCCGGAGGGGGGCGGCGGCGCGGGCCUGUGGUGGACGGCGGGCGGCCGCGGGCCCCGCGAGGUGUCGCCCGGAGUGGGCACCGAAGUACAGGGCGCCCUGGAGCGCGCGCUGCCAGAGCUGCAGCAGGCGCUGUCUGCGCUGAAGCAGGCGGGUGGCGCGCGGGCUGUGGGCGCCGGCCUGGCCGAGGUCUUCCAGCUAGUGGAGGAGGCCUGGCUGCUGCCGGCCGUGGGCCGCGAGGUGGCCCAGGGUCUGUGCGAUGCUAUCCGCCUGGACGGCGGCCUCGACCUGCUGCUGCGGCUGCUGCAAGUGCCAGAGCUGGAGACGCGCGUGCAGGCCGCGCGCCUGCUGGAGCAGAUCCUGGUGGCUGAGAACCGGGAUCGCGUGGCUCGCAUCGGGAUGGGCGUGAUCUUGAACCUGGCGAAGGAGCGCGAGCCCGUGGAGCUGGCCAGGAGUGUGGCGGGCAUCCUGGAGCACAUGUUCAAGCACUCGGAGGAGACGUGCCAGCAGCUGGUGGCGGCUGGCGGCCUGGACGCCGUGCUCUUCUGGUGCCGCCGCACCGACACGGCGCUGCUGCGCCACUGCGCGCUGGCGCUGGCCAACUGCGCGCUGCACGGGGGCCAGGCGGUGCAGCGGCGCAUGGUGGAGAAGCGCGCGGCCGAGUGGCUCUUCCCGCUCGCCUUCUCCAAGGAGGACGAGCUGCUGCGGCUGCACGCCUGCCUGGCCGUGGCGGUGCUGGCAACCAACAAGGAGGUGGAGCGCGAAGUGGAGCGCUCGGGCACGCUGGCGCUGGUGGAGCCGCUUGUGGCCUCGCUGGACCCCGGCCGCUUCGCCCGCUGCCUGGUGGACGCCAGCGACACAAGUCAGGGCCGCGGGCCCGACGACUUGCAGCGCCUCGUGCCUCUGCUCGACUCCUCGCGCUUGGAGGCGCAGUGCCUCGGGGCUUUCUACCUCUGUGCGGAGGCUGCCAUCAAGAGCCUGCAGGGCAAGACCAAGGUGUUCAGCGACAUCGGCGCCAUCCAGAGCCUGAAGCGCCUCGUUUCCUACUCCACCAACGGCACCACGUCAGCUCUGGCCAAGCGUGCACUACGCCUGCUGGGUGAGGAGGUGCCGCGGCCCAUCCUGCCCUGCGUGGCCAGCUGGAAGGAGGCCGAGGUCCAGACGUGGCUGCAGCAAAUUGGCUUCUCCCAGUACUGCCAGAGCUUCCGGGAGCAGCAGGUGGACGGUGAUCUGCUGCUGCGGCUCACCGAGGAAGAACUCCAGAAUGACCUGGGCAUGAAAUCGGGCAUCACUCGCAAGAGGUUCUUCCGGGAGCUCACGGAGCUCAAGACCUUCGCCAACUACGCCACAUGUGACCGCAGCAACCUGGCCGACUGGCUGGGCAGCCUGGACCCGCGCUUCCGCCAGUACACCUACGGCCUGGUCAGCUGUGGCCUGGACCGCUCGCUGCUGCACCGCGUGUCCGAGCAGCAGCUGCUGGAGGACUGCGGCAUCCACCUGGGCGUGCACCGCACACGCAUUCUCACUGCCGCCAGAGAAAUGCUGCACUCCCCGCUGCCCUGUACCGGCUGCAAGCCCAGCGGGGACACGCCCGAUGUCUUCAUCAGCUACCGCAGGAGCUCAGGUUCCCAGCUGGCCAGCCUCCUGAAGGUGCACCUGCAGUUGCACGGCUUCAGCGUCUUCAUCGACGUGGAGAAGCUGGAAGCAGGCAAGUUCGAGGACAAACUCAUCCAGAGCGUCAUGGGAGCCCGCAACUUCGUGCUGGUGCUGUCAGCCGGGGCCCUGGACAAGUGCAUGCAGGACCAUGACUGCAAGGACUGGGUGCACAAGGAGAUUGUGACUGCUCUGAGCUGCGGGAAGAACAUCGUACCGGUCAUCGAUGGCUUCGAGUGGCCUGAGCCCCAGGCCCUGCCGGAGGACAUGCAGGCUGUGCUCACCUUCAACGGCAUCAAGUGGUCCCACGAGUACCAGGAGGCCACCAUCGAGAAGAUCAUCCGCUUCCUGCAGGGCCGCUCCUCCAGAGACUCAUCCGCAGGCUCCGACACCAGUCUCGACGGUGCUGCACCGAUGGGCCCGGCCUAACCCGGCCCCAGGUCCCCAGCCCCACCGUGACUGGCACUGCCAUUGUCCCCACCACAAACAGGCCACCUGGGCUCAGACAGCCUGAGCUCUGCUCAGAAAAUGGCUCUCCCUGUCCCUGUCCACAUGGCCCAGCUCAACCCCACCUGCCUCAAUGUUGGGGGGAGGGAGCCAGGCACUGGGGUGGGGCCUCCCACCUCCCCCAGGCCUGGCCAUGAGGUCCUCUGUCUUGGCAUGGGGAUGGUCCCAGCCCAGUUCUGGAGACACAGGAGGUGGGGUAGGGGCUACCGCAGUCUCCCUCCUCCUGCCCUGACAGCAGGCAGCUUGAGUAGAGGGAAGGGCUUAUAGGGACCCCAGAGUCCCCCUGUUAGACUGGGUCCAGGUUCUUGCUUCCUAUGUGUGUGACACAGGAAAGCAGGACUUACUGAAAGGCAAAGGGACACAGACAUGAGGGCAGCCAACCCCAGGAGGGAGAACUGCCCCCCCUCGGGCCGGGAUCGUCCUUUUUAUAGGUGGGGUGGUGCUGGAGCACGGCCUGAUUGAGUGCUCCAAGCAGGCAGGGCUGGGGCAGGGCUGCAGCACACGUGGCGCCUGCUGCAUGAUGGAGCUGAGGCUCGGCCGCAUGAGGAGUGGGUAGGCUGAGCCUUCAGCCAUGUUGAGUCAGUACCGAGAGACUGGGCUGGGAAUGUAGGCAGUCCUUGGCUCCUGCGGCUCACUAGCUACCUGCCUAUCCGUGUCAAAGGCACACAUCUCGCAAGGUCCUGGGCAAGGAGACCGAGAUGGGAGGCCAGCAGUGGUUCUCCACCCAGACUGUGCCUGGCCCCUGGGCUCACUGCUUCCUGCCAGCCUGUGGCCUUACAUCCUAACCACUCGGGGCCCCUACUCAGCCUGGCGAGGUCCCAGACCUCCUCCCAGUCUUCCACUGGGUCAGCUUCCUCUGCCACAUGACUCAAGGUUGGUCCUCACUCUGGCUGAUCUGUAGCUGCACCUGGCUUCGCUGCACUCGCUGGUGCCCAGGAGCCUCCUGCUUGGGCCUGUCUGGGCAGGAGGAAGCCAUAUCUCAAAGCCCACCUAUCCCAUGUUUUGGUGCUGUGCCUCUGGUUCCUGCCUGGCUUGGCCCAGCUGGCUUCCCCAGACCCUCAUCCACCUAGGGCUGCCCACCACUUGCUCAGUGGGAAGGGGACCAGGCAGUCCCAGAUGGCAAUCCUUGUAGCCUGGCAGAACCUAGGGUUGUCACCUAGGGCCAUUUCUCCACCGUGAACGUGCAUUCAAACAGCCUGGGAAUCAUUAAAAUUCACUCAGGAGACUCAGAUGGGGCCUGAGGGUCUGCAUUUCUCACAAAUUCCCAGGUGGCAGCAAGCCUCUAAAACAUGAACAGCCCCCACACCUGGCCAUUUCCCAAACACCCCACUCGCUCGUCUCUAUAUUCUUCCCACCAACCCCAUCUGCUAUUAGACCCCCACUUCAUGGGUAAGGAAAUCGGGGCUCAGAAAGGUUGAGUGUUCUGUCGUUAGUAGGCAGCCCCAGGUUCCAGAACCAAGUCUCCUGGCACCCAGGCCACUGGCAGAGGAUCUGCCCUCCUGAGAAUCAUCCCAGAGGCUGCGUCCCAUGCAGAGCUGCUGCUUCCCCCCGCCCAGAAAGUCGAGUGAUGGGGGCUGGUUUUAGACACACAGGGCUGGCCCAGGGGCCUCGGGAAGUGACCGAGCAGCAGUGGCCCCAGGUCUCCCCUCCACUGAGACAGAAGGACGAGAGAGCAGCCCCUGCAGUCACCCCGGGCUCCUGCCAGUGCUGGUGCACCGUGCAGCUGGCCGGAGCCUGCCCCGCCUCUUCCCUCCUGGGCCCGUGGGUUCACCUGAAGGCCAGUUCAGCGGCCCAGGUCAUGCCUGGCUCUCGGGCCACAGCAUCAAAGUCAAAGGUCUCACUCCAGGCUCGAGGCGCCUUCCUUCCACUCCCUGCCCGUCAGGUACAGCUGAGCCGGUCCCAGCCCUGACUCUGGCUGGGACUGCACUUGACCUCCUUCCUUGCGCAGCACGAGUGUCCUCGUGCCAGCCUGGGGCUCAGCCCUGGACGUUGCCCUCACUGGGCAGUCAAUAAUACAGCGAGUGAGCCAGGGGCAGCUGUCUUUUUGUCCCAGUCUCUUCCUCCUGAGGCCUUCUCCGGCAGGAUUCAGGUUUCCUGGUUUCUCUGUAGGGUACACCCUCCACUGCUGUGCUGCCUCUGUCUCUGGCAAUCAGCACUCAGCCCCCACACAGAGCAGCCCAAGUACUGGGCCUGCCGCAGCCAGGCCAAUACCGUUCAGGAUGACUGCCCCGCCACCCCCGCCCCUGCUGUGACAAACACUGCUCAGGUCACAGGCAGGGCAUGCACCCGGCCCCCCACAGCUGACCCUGAGGCUCAGGGCUCCGCAGCAGCCUGUCCCCCAAAGCCCGCUGACACAGGUCUACAAGGCCAGGAUUUUCUGCUUGGCUGGGCUAUAGCUGCUGGCCCUGGGCUGGGGCUGAGUCAGCGAGGUCCCUUCCCCACCUCUCCGCAGGGGCCAAGAACUGCCCAGGGACACUCAAAGUCCAAAAGUCCAGCCACAGUUCGUUCAUUCUCCCCCCAGGACAUGUCUCGGAGCAUCACUAAUCGGGUUUCUUACCUUGUGCAGGUGUGGUCCCCACGGUCCCGCUGAUCUGGCCCUUCCUACAGAGGCCUGCCCAAGGUCCCCCGGCCAGAGCACGAGGCCAGCUCACACCGCUCCCCUCUUCACAGAAUCCCUGUGGUUGCUUAGGUCUCCCACUUAGGGUUGGGAGGGGGCAGGAGGCUGGAAAUGGGCCUGGGCUACAGAGACCCGGCUGGCCCCGGCUGGCCCUGGGCUGCAUGAUUUCCAGGUGGGAAGCUGGCUGGUGGGGCAGGUGAGAGAGAGAGGGUAGAAGCGGCCGCGGGCUCAUGUUCAAUUAAGUACUGCCUUUCAGCUUCAGGUGGAGACCUUCCGAACUGCCUAGAAAUGCGUGCUCCAUCCUCCAGGAAGCUGGGCCCCUGCAUCCUGUGGGAAAUCGGGCCCAGCUCCCGGGUUCUGCUGAACGGAGCCACGAGGGAUGGUCUCAGCACAGCUCUGCUGAAAUGCCAGGAGUGGGAGGCGCUGCAGGUCCCGCUGUAAAAUGGGAACAGAGAGGGGUGACGCAGACAGGAGGAGGGAACACAGCCUUGCGGUCAGCCUGAUCCGUCCUGCCCUCUGCCUCGGCCUUGGGGCCCAGCCCCCAACGCAUUACGCAGCUAUGUUCGAGGGGCGCAUCAGCCUGGGAUGAGAUACCACCAGGGCACGGGUUCUGGGAGUGAAGCUGCCUCUUCAGGGGUGCAGGGGGGCCUCUGAGGAUAAGGGGCUCCCCAGUGAGCCUGGGGUCAGGGCCCUGUCGUACCCAAUC